UACGUAGGGUGCGAGCGUUAAUCGGAAUUACUGGGCGUAAAGCGUGCGCAGGCGGUUUGAUAAGUCAGAUGUGAAAGCCCCGGGCUCAACCUGGGAACUGCGUUUGAAACUGUCAGGCUAGAGUGUGUCAGAGGGAGGUAGAAUUCCACGUGUAGCAGUGAAAUGCGUAGAGAUGUGGAGGAAUACCGAUGGCGAAGGCAGCCUCCUGGGAUAACACUGACGCUCAUGCACGAAAGCGUGGGGAGCAAACAGG
rnacentral:rRNA from 1 species